ACUGCUUCAUAACUAUAAUUUUAAUACUGUUAUGAAUCAUAAUGUAAAUAAUUGGGGGGGUAGCAAUUUGCCAAAGGGGUCUCACAGGUUGGGAACCAUUGGUAUGCAUAAUGGCUAAUUGUGGUUGUCAGCUUGACACAUCUGGGAAGAGGGAUUCUUAAUUGAGGAAUUGCCUUCACCAGCUUGUCCUGUGGGCAUGUCCAUGGCUGUGGGGCAUUUCUUGAUUGCUAAUUGAUGCUCAAUAACCAACCUCACUGGGGGCAGCUCAACCCCUGGGCAGGUGGGCCUGGGCUGUGUCAUAAAAAUAGCUGCUGAAUGUGAGAAAGCUGGAAAGCAGAGUUCCUCUAUUGGGUUCUGCUUCAGGCUCCUGCUCUGUGUUUCUGCCAUGGCCCCUCUUGAUGAUGAACUGUAAGCUGUAAGCUGAAUACACCCUUUGGUCUACAAGAUGCGAUGCUUGUGGUCAUGGCAUUUGUCUCAAUUACAGAAAGCAAACUGUUGCAGGACAUAUAAUUGAAAUCUCUGAUUUAGGUGGAAUUUGUCCUUCGAGUUGGGUGAGAAAUCAUUUGUUUAUUUUUGUCCUUGUGGCUACUCAGCUAGUCUCAUACAUAUUAUGAAGAAGGAAAAGGAAAAUAACCAGUUAGUCCAGCAUUUUGUUGUCUGACAGGGAGAUGUAAAGUCUUUGAGAUCUUGUCUUAAGUGCCAGUCUUUGUUGUUUAUCUUUUGUCCAUGUUUUAAGAUUUGCUCAAGUUCCUUAUUCACCAGAAAGGACCUUUCCUCAUGAGCUAUAGGAGUGCAUCAGAAUGGGAAUAUUCAUACAAUUUUUACUUUUACUGAAUUUUUAGUAUUUUAUUUAUGCUUUCAUUUAUUUUAUGAGGCCAGAUUUCUCUAUAUGGCCCAUGCUGGCCUCAAACCCAAUAGUAUCAUCCCUACUUUCCAAGGGCUAGGAUUACAGGCUUAAGCCUCUGUAACAAACUCUAUGUGUUUUAUUUUGAAAUAAAUUCACUCAUGCAUGCAUUGAUAUACAUGCAUGUGUGUAUUCAUUCAUUAAUUAACUCAUGCAUUUAAGAAUCAGUCCUUCCAUGUGCAGCAGUAACCAAAAGCUCCAAAUUUGAAGUAGAGGACAGAUUAGAUAUUCCAUCACCAUCUACUUCCAAACAGUAUGGCUAUAGCAACAGGGUUAGGGGCCCAGACUAGAGGAUUGUGUGAAUUUAGAGGCAGUAGGCUUCCCAGGUAACGCUGUGACUCAACCAAAUAUUAAGAAUUAAGAAUUCAGGUCACCACUGUAAAAAUGAGGAGGGUUGUCUUUAAUUGGCAAGGUCACUUGAAGAGCUCAAUGAACUAAGGCAAGGAAGGCAGGAUGCUGCUGAGAAACCAUGGUCAUUGCCAUUAGAAACUCCUAGGCUUGUCAGACUUGGUGGGGGUUGGGCUUCUUGGUUGUCAGGUGGGGACUGAGGUAGUAAGGGUACACUAGGCAGUUGUCCGUGGGUAGUUAUGAAACAUGAACUAUUCUAUAAGGAUCAAUAAAGAUUUCCUUCAUUUUCUAUCUAUCCUAAUAAUGUGAUUUUUCUUAUUAAUUCCCAAGCCCUGGGAAACAAAGGCUAUGUCUGAACCUCAUUUGUGCUCAACAGCCUCAGGGAUGAAAAGAAAGUGACCAGGAAGGAGAAAGGGUGAAAGUCAGGAUUGCCUGGAAGGGUAUGUGCUCAGUUCUUUCCCUAUGGCAGACAAGGCGAGUUCACUCACCCCACAAGAAAGUUGUGCUUGUCUCACUUAUCCUCAAAAUGUCCAUAAAAUAUACAACCUUGAAAGGUAUUCUUGAGUAAAAUAGUCCAACACAAGCUAGCAUUCAUUCUACACACACACACACACACACACACACACACACGAAAAAUCUAUGCUUAAGAGCUUACUAAUCAAAGCAGAAUCAUUGAUGAGUGUUGACAGUUGACAAUAAGUGCCAUGAAUGUCCCACAAUCUGAAAUGUGAAACACAAAAACUUACCCUGUGGCACAGCAACUUCUCACAUAGAAAUUGCCCUCUCUAUGCUUGGUGCCAUCUUGGCAUGAAUCUAACUUUCCACUGGUGACAAGUGUUGGGAUCCUAUCCAGAAUAGCUCCUAGUGCCAACCUUCAAGGAGAAAAGCAUGCUGGGGCUCGGGAUUCGGGGGCGGGGUGCAAUUACAAAUCAGUGUAAGGAAGUUGUGGCUUCCAAAGCCUUCUGAGCUGGGCUGCUUCUCGGGGGUUUCUCGGUAUCACUAAUGACAUCACCACCACACGGCCAGCUCCUCCAGAGCAUCUCUUCUGGCUUCUGGUUGAACCGACUUAGCGAGAGGAUAUUUGAAAAUGUUUGUGUGUGUGUGUGUGUGUGUGUACAUGUUCUUAAGUGUGUUUAUUACACAUGUAUGUGAAUAGAGGCCAGAGGUCAAUCUUCGGUUUCCAUCUUUGGAAGCCAUUUUUCUUGUUUUGGAAGCAGAGUUUCUCAGUAAGACCUGUAGCUUGCCAAGUAGACUACACUAGCCAGUCACUAAGCACAUAAGCACCCUGGCAUCCUCCUGUCUGACAGAGUUAAAAAUAAAGAGACAAGACCAAGAAACAGCUUUUGAAAAUGGACUUUUUAUGAUAUUGUGGAAAUUUGACUCAGAAAAAAAAAAAAGUCACUACAAAUAAAAAGAAAAGUCCUUAGAAUCUAAAUCUAAUGAUGAGCCUGGCUCCUACUUCCAGAGUUGCCUGGAAGUUUCUGGCAGCUCGCCCUAGUUUCACAGAGUGGCUCUUAACUUUUAUGCAAAAAUACAGUCCGUUGUGUUCACCUGUGGGGCCAGCAAUCAGGCUCCAAACAUCCAGGAGGAUCUUCAGCUUUUUGUCACAGGCCCGGGAACCCCUGGGGUAGUUUCUGCCCUCCUGUUGGCUCAGAAACUGCAAACUGGUCUUCAUCUGAGUUCUUCUUUCAGCUCUCAGGCCCACCCGCUGCCCAGCUUCCGCUACUGGACCCUUGGCUGGCUGAUCGCUGCUUCCUAAAAUCUUAGCCGCUCUCCCUGAGCUGCUGUGUCCUCCCUGUGCUGCUGGCUUUUUCCCGUCAUUAAGCCGGGACACGUCUGCAAACAGGAAACGAACUCUAAGCACCCAGGAGGCUCAUUCCCACCUUCUCUCUGGUCCCUUCUUCAGGCUUUUGAUUUCAGCCACUAAGUACUCUGGGGGUGUCUCUGCAUACCUGACCUCCAGGGAACUUAGAGAGCCUUGUUUUUUAGAAGCCAUUAGCAUUCCACUGGUUGCCUCAAGGUUAGCUUUUCCUCCCACCCCUCCCCUGCUUAUCAAGCACUGUCCCCUUGGGCUUCCUGCUUUGUUUUCUGUAGGGUCUUUUAGAAGUAGCUUUUAUUGGGAUUCUGCCUCAGGCUAUCUUCCUAAGUGGCUGGACCUCACUCCUAAGUCUUCCUGGUUCCAGAGGCAAACAGCCAGUGGCCCGUCCUUUUGGAUUUCUCAAAGGCUUCCUAACCCUACACACAAACUUUGCCCCGUUCUUUCUACUGCUGGUCUCUCAAAGUAAAACGCACCCACCUCCUCUCCCAUUACCCAGACCUGUCACACACUACCAUUAAAGCUCCAGGAGCCCAGCCACCAGUUGACACCUCAUCUUUAAAUAGGUCAUACCACACUCUUAACUUGCUACCAAGCUCAGCGGUGUCUCCUACACAAGACUCCUCUAGAGCCCUAGUCUGUUCUGGACCCUUUUCUGUCAGCCUGGCCAUUCUGACCCCAGUUUGCAGCACUUCAGUCUCCCCUCCUCCUUCUCCCUUUCUUCAGCUUUUUUGUUUCCUUCAGGAAGACGGGGGAGGGGCUAGUUCUGCUCUUGUCCAAGCUAGGCAACUGCACUCUAGGGCCACCCAAGCCAAGUUCCAGUUCUCAUAUGCCAGAAAAGAGUCUUUCUUUUCCCAGAAUUCUAAAAUCUAGUUCUUUGCCACCAGUAGAUAACAGCACACUUUGCUGUGCUUCGGGAAAUUUGUCAGAAUUCUUGCAGACACAGUUUUUAAGUCCCCAUGUGUGAAAGAAAGUUCCAGACAGCAAUGUCUGUGUAGCUAAUCUGGCUCAGCUAAGGACCUUCUGGAACACCGGUGCUGCGCUGUCUCCCCACUUCCAGGAUAUACCCUCUCCAUGGGCUCAGAACUUCUCCAGCUCCGCUUCUCCUUGCUCCAGGGAAUUCUGGGAAGGGAAGCUGCUGUUACCUUCAGAGGCCUCUGUCAGGCUUUCUUCUCCCUUCCAGUCAAGAAGCAGAAUGCUGGAAAGGAAAAACAGCAAUGAGAAAAGAGCAGAAGUCUCAGGUGUUACAGGGAUUUCUGCUAUUUCUGCCUUUUCUCUUCGAAUUUCCCAAAUGAUUGGCUACGAGCAAGUUUUCCUCAGAAGACAGAACUUGGAUCCACUGGACUGGAUGAAACUAUAAUGCAAAAGAGCCCCUGGAGCACCCUGCUCGGGUAUUUCCUUUUGUGAGCCAAAGCAGAAGGAGAAGGUACAGCCACACCUCCGUCAGUAGGAGCCAGGAAUGAACAAGGGCAUCAAGCAGGAAGCAAACAGAAUUUCCAAUUAUGUUUACUUGCAAAGGCAUCUGGGCCCUGCACUUUAAACAUCAAUGAAGGAGCCUUGCUUUGUCUGUGGGCCCAGGAGAGGGCCUGAGGGACAGGAAUCUGAUCAGAGGCAUUGAUCUCACCUAUCUUUCUCAUAAUACUGUGCUCUCCAGCUCCCAGAGAAUUUUACAUUCAAAGUGGGAAAAAUGGAGUUAUGUGACCCUCUGGGCCAGAGCCCUCCAUCCUAUUGACAACUGCCAUCAAUCUCCCAGAGUCUCACCCCAUUUGCUAAAUCACAGUGGCUCCCCUGCAGUCACACGGCCAUCAGUGGCAAAGUUAAUUGCAAUCAAUAGACCCAGCAUUUUCCUUCCCUACCCCCACCCCAGGGUAAAUCUUAUCUGCUUGGAAAGACAAGGGGCCAGGCCUCAGUGCACAGAUUCUCAGGGAAGAGGAAGGGUUAUCAGAACUCUUGGCUUUGAGUCAUGAUUUACUUUUUUUUUUUUUAAUUAAAUUUUCCGGUGUAAGAAUUGAAUUGCAACAUUUUGCCUCCCUCCACCCACCCUUCUUUCUUUCUUCCUGAUGUUGGGAGUGAAACCCAUGUUUUAACAGAUGUUAACCAAAUGCUCUAACCACUGAGGCACAUGCCCAGCUCAACAUCUUGUUUUACUGUUUUAGCAACUUUUUCCCCUCAUUUUUUUAAUGUUUUUUUCCCCCAUAGAUUAUAAGUGAAUAUAAAACUCACUAGACAAAAUCAUGGCAAAUCAUUGUUACAAUGAAAUAAAAUAUGGACUGCUGUCUGUGUGUGCCAUAUCUAAGAGGCAUCACCACCCCCACCAGGACUUCUCCGGAGUUCCUACAAGUACACAGGCCAGAAAACAGCAUAUGAUGGCAAAUGCCUGUCAAGGGCUCCAUGCUGGUCACACUUACAAAUAGGGUGGAUGUUCAGCCUGGAGCUGCACUGGGCUGUUUCUUAGGUUAGAGUGUUUAACCCUAAAUGCAACAUUUGGAGAAUCAAAGAAGUGCAAUCUUAGUUCUUAGAUGGAUGGGUGGCUAUGCUUUUUGAAGUUGGAGUGACUUAACCUCUCCCUGCAUCUCUGUCUUACCCUCUCUCUUAUCUCUUUCAAGUGGGGAGAAAGCUCAUUCAUGUUUCAGACAUAUUUAGGAACUGAAGAGACUGCUAAAGUGCCUAGCAUAUAAACCCGACAACCUGUGUAUAAACCUGGGUGUACCUGAAACUCCAGCCAGACUAGAGACCCUUGGGGCUUUUUGACCACCCAGUCUAAGCUAGCUGGUGAGUUUCAGACUAAAUGAGAGACCCUGUCUCAAAAACUAAGGUGGAAAGCAAUAGAGUAAGACAUCCAAUAUCAGCGCCUGGGCUCUACAUGUAUGUGUACAUACAUGUGCACACACAUGUUGUGGGCACAUCUUUUAGAGAAGAUUGUCAUAUUCCGUUUUCCUUGAAGCUGGUGGUCAUGCCUUCUUUCUCCUUUGUGAGUUUGCAUGCCGGUUGAAGAAGAUAGGGCAAAAGCUUUAAGAAAACUACAAGCUGCAGCUUGCAUAACCUGCAAGAUGGAGACUUUCUACAGACAAUCUGGACUGGUGCUCAGGUCCGUGGGCCAAGGGAUGCUGUAAUUAGUAAAGUGCCCCUCUUUCCCUGGCAGCUUCUUCCCACCAUCCUGUCAGUGCCUAUCACUGAUGUCUGGAGGAUGCAUGCAUGGCAGGCUUCAGGCUGCCUGACAGGCGCUUUGCGGGGAAAGCUUUAUCUGUGCAAUUGGUCCUUGGGGUAAAGUAGGAGCCUGUCAGGCAUGCCAGGGUACAUGGGAGAACUGGUUCAAGUGGAGGGAGAGGUGUAUGUACAG